UACAGAGGGGGCGAGCGUUGUUCGGAAUUACUGGGCGUAAAGGGCGCGUAGGCGGCCUUCUAAGUCGGACGUGAAAUCCCUCGGCUCAACCGAGGAACUGCGUCCGAUACUGGUUGGCUUGAGACCGGAAGAGGUUAGUGGAACUGCGAGUGUAGAGGUGAAAUUCGUAGAUAUUCGCAAGAACACCAGUGGCGAAGGCGGCUAACUGGUCCGGUUCUGACGCUGAGGCGCGAAAGCGUGGGGAGCAAACAGG
rnacentral:rRNA from 1 species